CCCGCUGAACUUAAGCAUAUCAAUAAGCGGAGGAAAAGAAACUAACAAGGAUUCCCCUAGUAACUGCGAGUGAAGCGGGAAGAGCUCAAAUUUGAAAUCUGGCGGGUACCCCGUCCGAGUUGUAAUCUGGAGAAGCGUUUUCCGCGCUGGACCGUGUACAAGUCCCUUGGAACAGGGCGUCAUAGAGGGUGAGAAUCCCGUCUUUGGCACGGACGCACCAGGGCUUCUGUGAUGCGCUCUCGAAGAGUCGAGUUGUUUGGGAAUGCAGCUCAAAAUGGGUGGUGAACUCCAUCUAAAGCUAAAUAUUGGCGAGAGACCGAUAGCGAACAAGUACCGUGAGGGAAAGAUGAAAAGCACUUUGGAAAGAGAGUGAAACAGUACGUGAAAUUGUUGAAAGGGAAACGCUUGAAGUCAGUCGCGUCGACCGAGACUCAGCCUUGCCUUGGCUUGGUGUACCUCUCGGCUGACGGGUCAGCAUCAAUUUCGCCCCUCGGAUAAUGGUGAGGGAAAUGUGGCACCUUUGCGGGUGUGUUAUAGUCCUUUGUCGCAUGCGAGGGUUGGGAUUGAGGAACUCAGCACGCGCCUUUCGGCGUCGGGGCUCUGCCCACGAUACGUGCUUAGGAUGUUGGCGUAAUGGCUUUAAACGACCCGUCUUGAAACACGG
rnacentral:rRNA from 1 species